CGAGACUGCCUACGCAAGUAGAGAGGAAGGAGGGGAUGACGUCAAGUCCUCAUGGCCCUUAUGCCUAGGGCUUCACACGUACUACAAUGGGCGCUACAAUGGGCGAAGUCGCAAGACGGAGGGAAUCCCAAAAAAGCGCUCUCAGUUCGGAUCGGGGUCUG
rnacentral:rRNA from 1 species